rnacentral:misc_RNA from 1 species
GAUGAAGAACGUAGCGAAAUGCGAUAAGUAAUGUGAAUUGCAGAAUUCAGUGAAUCAUCGAAUCUUUGAACGCACAUUGCGCCCUCUGGUAUUCCGGGGGGCAUGCCUGUUCGAGCGUCAUUACAACCCUCAAGCUUUGCUUGGUAUUGGACAUUGCCAGUUUCUGGCAGGUCUUAAAAUCAGUGGCGGUGCCAUUUGGCUUCAAGCGUAGUAAUUCUUCUCGCUUUGGAGAUCCAAGUGGUUACUUGCCAAUAACCCCCAAUUUUUUCAGGUUGACCUCGGAUCAGGUAGGGAUACCCGCUGAACUUAAGCAUAUCAAUAGCGGAGG